AAUAGGGUAAUCUAAUUAAUAUCAUGUACCAUAUUUUCAAUUUCAAUAUUUUCUUAUAGUUCUCUGUUAUUUGAGUGAUACUGUAAAGAUGUUGAGUUUCUUCUUCUCUCCAAGAGAAGAUUAUUGAUUUUUGGGUAUGUAAAUUACAGGGAAUGAAAGAUCAAAAGCUUGAUAGAAAUAUAAAGAUACAAGGCCCUUCUUGAUUAAUCAGGUCUAGGGAUUUGAAUUAGUACGUUGCUUCAUGCUAUGAAUAGAUUAGAUUACAUAAGUUCAUAAGGAAGAAAAUUUGAAAGAUGGUGACUGAAGAUAUAUAUUGAAGAUUAGGCCAAGUAUGUAUGUCUAUUGUCAUCUAGGAUUACAUAAGAUUAGAAAGUAU